ensembl:lncRNA
UGCGAUGAUGGAGAAGAGUCUGUUCUAAACCUCCAUGUCUUUCGAAGAAAGGAGCGAAACAACCACGGAGGAGGAAUCCAAGGGUUUGGACCCACCAUGCACUUUGGGGCCCUGGGAAUUAUUUCCUUCCUUUUUCUCUUUGCAUCUGAGUCUCUCUGGGGCGAAAAAUUGGAAGCAAAUUCAGAUACUUAUUGGUCAGGAACGGCUCCUAUCUGUCUUGGAGGCUGCAAAGGGAAGCACAAAGAAUUGAAAAAGAGCCAAUGCGGAAACGGAAGUUGCUGCUGGUUGGGAUAUAAAUCCUUUUGCCGAGUGAACUGCGGUCGACCAGAAGCGGAGUUUAAUUCGGUGGUCUACGGCAACGACUGGUGGGUGGGAUCUGUAGUGCGUUACCGCUGCCGAGCAGGGUUCCUGCUGGUGGGCGACCCAGCCAGCGCUUGCCAGUCCAGCGGCUACUGGACCCCCAAGCCAACCUGCCUCCGGAUCUGCCUCCGGGGCCGGAUCGAGAUCAACGAGCGGGACAUUGACGGGAGCUGCUCCUCCACCUGCCCCACCAAGGCCCACCUGGGGGCCCUGCUCAACCACGGCUGCAUCAAGAUCUCCGCCUGCGUCACCAAGCAGUCCGGCUGGACCCGCUGGUUCUCCCGCUGCGACUUCUGCGAGUGCGACUGCUACGUCCCCUGCUCUUCAUCGCGAUAAAAGCCAAAGAAAUUGUGAUAUUGCGAUACACCGAUUUCUAGAGGUUCCGAUGUUGCAGAAGUUCAAGGUGUCCGAAGAUCGAGAACACACCCAGCAGCAGCUGUACCCCCAUCAGUUAUAUAAUUUCUAAUCCUUCAAUAAAUUAUGUAUAUUUUAUAGUUUUUGUGUAACGUAUCCUUCAGUUGUAUACCAUAUCUAUUCCUUAUAUAGAAAGUAUCUAAACCACUUUAUAGAAAUGUAUUGAAAUGUAGCUUAGAAACGGCCACCCCUCCAUGAUCCUGCUAAAUAAUCCCCUAGGAAUAGAGAAGUUGGGCAAAUUCCUCUGGCUAUUUCCCAAGACAGAUAAUCACCAGGUUCGUUGUGUUUAUGUACAGAUAGGCUACUUCCCUGGCCAGCCAGAUAAGCCAGAUAUUUAUGGAAUUCAUCUUAGGGGAAAUUUGUAUUUACUGCUGUUAAAUAAACUGAAUGACGGCAGGAAAAGUAAUGCAAUGUUUUCCAAAAAAUACUCCAUUGGCAACAGAAAAGAAAGCGAAUCCCAAGUACAGUAGAGUCUUAUUUAUCCAAGACUCACUUAUCCAAGGUUCUGGAUUAUCCAAGGCAUUUUUGUAGUCAAUGUUUUCAAUAUAUCAUAAUAUUUUGGUGCUAAAUUCGUAAAUACAGUAAUUACAACAUAACAUUACUGCGCAUUGAACUACUUUUUCUGUCAAAUUUGUUGUAUGACAUGAUGUUUUGGUGCUUAAUUUGUAAAAUCAUAACCUAAUUUGAUGUUUAAUAGUCUUUUCCUUAGUCCCGUCUUAUUAUCCAAGAUAUUCGCUUAUGGCCGUUUAGCUUGGAUAAGUGAGACUCUACUGUAGCUGAUGAUUUUUUCCCUUUUAUCACAGCAAGCCAAUGGACACAAGAGGGCAUACGAGAGCCAUAUGUCGGAAGGGAAACUGUGGAAUUAAUGCGGCUUGAUCUUGUGUAACUCACAAAAACUACAACCCCAAUGAUUCCACAACAGUCCAAAUGGUGUCAUCAAUCAGCACCAUUCAUUACCUUGUCUCCCAGGCAAGGUGACCAUAGAUGAAGUAGAUGAUGGAGAGAUCGGAGCAAAAGGCCUUCUGAGUCCCAAGGUUGUCCUCACGAUUGUCCAACAUGAAGUUGCAGAGCAUUACAAACUUAUGGGACAAAUCUCUGUCCACAAGGUGUUCUCCGUCUGUUAUCAACUCUGGGAACAUUAUUUUUGAUUAUUAAUACUAAUUAUCAAUAACUACUACCAUGUUUCCCCGAAAAUAAGACAGUGUCUUAUAUUAAUUUUUGCUCCCAAAGAUGCGCUAGGUCUUAUUUAGAGGGGAUGUCUUAUUUUUUCAUGAAGAAGAAUUCACAUUUAUUGUUGAACAAAAACAUGAACAUUUAUUAUAUACUGUAUAGUAGUUGUCCUCACAAACCAGCAUAACCAGACAAACUGUGAAUCCUAUCAAGAAUUUCUUGUUAUUACCAAUAUUUCCAUGUACAACACUCUAUGGUACGUACAUUUACCGAUCCUGGAUGCUUUGGUGUUCUGUUCGUUGGGCAUGCUUCCAAACAAAAACUUUGCUAGGUCUUACUUUUGGGGGAGGCCUUAUAUUUAGCAAUUCAGCAAAAGCUCUACUAGGUCUUAUUUUCUGGGGAUGUCUUAUUUUAGGGGAAACAGGGUAAUACCUGCUGUAUAUCCUAUCAGUCACAUUUCUAUCCUUUUGUUCUAACAAGCUCAAGGGAUGUUCCAGGGAGUGCUUUGAUGCGAUGACGAAUCAAUGCAGUUUGAACUGCCAUGGUUUAAGGCUAUGGAAUACUGGGAAUUGUAAUUUGACAAGUGUUUUAGUCCUCUGUGCCUAAGUGUGCCCAUGCCUCACUUAACAAAGAGUUUAUCUACAUUGUCAAUUUAAUGCACUUUAACUUCAAUGAGGCAGUGCUCUGGAGUGCUGGGAGUUGUAGUUUGGCGAGGCCCCAACACUCCGGCAGAGAAGGCUAAAGAGAUCGUAAACUACAGCUCUCCAUAGCAUUGAGUCAUUGCACUUAAAGCAGUGUCAAAUUGCAUUAAUUCUGUAGUGUGGAGGGAGUGGAUAUUUAUUUUUAUUUAUUUAUUUACAACAUUUAUACCCCGCCCUUCUCACCCGAGGGGACUCAGGGCGGCUUACAAAAAUUGGCAAAAUUUAAUGCCCAAAAUGCAAUCAUAAAAACAAAACAGCCUUAACCCUAUCCCUAAAAGUUACUACUCGUUUGUCUGUGUAUCACUUGUUGAGAAAAUCACAAUAAAAAUUACUUGACAAAAAAUAAUAAUAAUAAAAACAAAACAGUAUAAACAGAUCUAUUAAUAACAUUGUUAAAACACAUUAUAAAAACCUUAAAAACAUAUAUAUAAUUAAUUCCAUUUGUCCAAUAUAGGUGUUAUCGUAAAUUAGACUCCAAAAUUAUGAAUUAUGAAAGGGACAUACAGUAGAGUCUCACUUAUCCAACAUAAACGGGCUGGCAGAAUGUUGGAUAAGUGAAUAUGUUGGAUAAUAAGGAGGGAUUAAGGAAAAGCCUAUUAAACAUCAAAUUAGGUUAUGAUUUUACAAAUUAUGCACCAAAACAUCAUGUUAGACAACCAAUUCAACAGUACGUACGUUCUGUACGUAGUAAUGCUAUGUAGUAAUUACUGUAUUUACAAAUUUCGCACCAAUUUCGCACCAAAAUAUCACGAUGUAUUGAAACAUUGAUUACAAAAAUGCAUUGGAUAAUCCAGACGUUGGACAAGCGAGUGUUGGAUAAGUGAGAUUCUACUG